rnacentral:rRNA from 1 species
GAUGAACGCUGGCGGCGCGCCUAACACAUGCAAGUCGAACGGUUAAAGCACCUUCGGGUGUGUAUAAAGUGGCGAACGGCUGAGUAACACGUGGGCAAUCUGCCCUAAAGACUGGGAUACCACUUGGAAACAGGUGCUAAUACCGGAUAACAACAUGAAUCGCAUGAUUCAAGUUUGAAAGGCGGCGCAAGCUGUCACUUUAGGAUGAGCCCGCGGCGCAUUAGCUAGUUGGUGGGGUAAAGGCCUACCAAGGCAAUGAUGCGUAGCCGAGUUGAGAGACUGAUCGGCCACAUUGGGACUGAGACACGGCCCAAACUCCUACGGGAGGCAGCAGUAGGGAAUCUUCCACAAUGGACGCAAGUCUGAUGGAGCAACGCCGCGUGAGUGAAGAAGGUCUUCGGAUCGUAAAGCUCUGUUGUUGGUGAAGAAGGAUAGAGGCAGUAACUGGUCUUUAUUUGACGGUAAUCAACCAGAAAGUCACGGCUAACUACGUG